rnacentral:miRNA from 1 species
UCUUACCUACACCGCCCAUGCC